AGUGAACGCUGGCGGUAGGCCUAACACAUGCAAGUCGAACGGAAGCACAGUAAGCGCUUGCUCUUACGGGUGGCGAGUGGCGGACGGGUGAGGAAUACAUCGGAAUCUACUUUUUCGUGGGGGAUAACGUAGGGAAACAUACGCUAAUACCGCAUACGACCUACGGGUGAAAGCAGGGGAUCUUCGGACUUUGCGCGAUUGAAUGAGACGAUGCCGGAUUAGCUAGUUGGCGGGGUAAGGGCCCACCAAGGCGACGAUGCGUAGCUGGUCUGAGAGGAUGAUCGGCCACACUGGAACUGAGACACGGUCCAGACUCCUACGGGAGGCAGCAGUGGGGAAUAUUGGACAAUGGGCGCAAGCCUGAUCCAGCCAUACCGCGUGAGUGAAGAAGGCCUUCGGGUUGUAAAGCCCUUUUGUUGGGAAAGAAAAGCAGCAGGUGAAUACCCCGCUGUUCUGACGGUACCCAAAGAAUAAGCACCGGCUAACUUCGUG
rnacentral:rRNA from 1 species